AGAGUUUGAUCCUGGCUCAGAUUGAACGCUGGCGGCAGGCUUAACACAUGCAAGUCGAACGGUAGCAGGAGGAAGCUUGCUUUCUUGCUGACGAGUGGCGGACGGGUGAGUAAUGCUUGGGAAUCUGGCUUAUGGAGGGGGAUAACUACUGGAAACGGUAGCUAAUACCGCGUAAUAUCGAGAGAUUAAAGGGUGGGACUUUCGGGCCACCUGCCAUAAGAUGAGCCCAAGUGGGAUUAGGUAGUUGGUGGGGUAAAGGCCUACCAAGCCUGCGAUCUCUAGCUGGUCUGAGAGGAUGGCCAGCCACACUGGAACUGAGACACGGUCCAGACUCCUACGGGAGGCAGCAGUGGGGAAUAUUGCACAAUGGGGGGAACCCUGAUGCAGCCAUGCCGCGUGAAUGAAGAAGGCCUUCGGGUUGUAAAGUUCUUUCGGUGAUGAGGAAGGUGUUUUGUUUAAUAGACAAGGCAAUUGACGUUAGUCACAGAAGAAGCACCGGCUAACUCCGUGCCAGCAGCCGCGGUAAUACGGAGGGUGCGAGCGUUAAUCGGAAUAACUGGGCGUAAAGGGCACGCAGGCGGAUUGUUAAGUGAGAUGUGAAAGCCCCGAGCUUAACUUGGGAAUUGCAUUUCAGACUGGCAGUCUAGAGUAUUUUAGGGAGGGGUAGAAUUCCACGUGUAGCGGUGAAAUGCGUAGAGAUGUGGAGGAAUACCGAAGGCGAAGGCAGCCCCUUGGGAAUAUACUGACGCUCAUGUGCGAAAGCGUGGGGAGCAAACAGGAUUAGAUACCCUGGUAGUCCACGCUGUAAACGAUGUUGAUUUGGGGAUUGGGCUUUAAGCUUGGUGCCCGUAGCUAACGUGAUAAAUCAACCGCCUGGGGGAGUACGGCCGCAAGGUUAAAACUCAAAGGAAUUGACGG
rnacentral:rRNA from 1 species